UGACUGGGGGGGGUGCGAGUGGCAGUGCCUGGGGAGACUGCCCCUGGUGUGACGUGGCCCUAUAGGGAAUUCCCAACAAGAUUAUUUAAAAGAAGGCUCCUCUAGGAAACACAGGUAAGAGCUGAUCACUCAGCGUUUUGAGCCCUGGCAGAGGUAUUAGACCCCUGGAGAGAGAACCUGAGGCCCAUGUGAGAGGCGAGAAAUGACUCAGUGGUGAAUCCCUAUGCAGUCCUGCCCAUAAUCAGCACAUUCUGAUCCAUGACACUGACCCCUAGACCACAGUUCGGUUGCCUCUUGUAAAGAAAAACGGGAAACCAAUCCUCUAAACAUGAGGAGAGACAAGGAGAAUGAAGCCAUCUGGGCACCCUGGUUUGUUUAUUGCACCUCUUCUUGCAAGUAUGUUUGUAAACAAAGAGAUUCAAAACGUUCAGGUAUGCUAGGGCUGCAGCUGGUUAUGGCUUAUUCUUGUGCUCGAGUUUCAAGUGAAGGGCCACCUGCAUCUAGGAAAAUUCAUAGCUCAAGUGGUCAUCCUCCCACUAUGAAUUAAAAAUGUCUAGUUUCUUGAGCUCUCUGUUUUCUAUUCUGCCAACUCUGAACCUGCUAACUUCUCCUACUGCUCUUGAGAUAGAGACAAUGUUUAUGGUAUUCGUAAUUCAAGGCUAGUUGAAGAUCUUACAGCCAUUUCAAGCUAAGAUACAAAAAUUGAACAAUCAUUCUCCACUGAUGGAGAGAAUAGGAGAAAAAAAAUAAAGGAAAAAAGAGGCUUUUAAAGCUCAGAGUGCCCCUGCCCUGUUAGUGCUCUGUAGAGCAUCUUCUCCGUUCAUGGCCUUUUCCUCCCCAAAUUGAUCUCAGUUGACUUCUGGGCAUUUGUGAAAUGAAAGAGGAAACCGAACUGUCCUGUUUGUAGAUAAGUGAGAGACUGAGUUCCUCAGCUCCGAAGAGAAAGGGCAUUUACCCGUCCCAGCCAAAGGUACGCCUGGGUGACUGGGGGUGCGAGUGCGAGUGUCUGGGAUGACUGCCCUUGGAGUGGCCCUAUAAGGAAUCCCCAACAAGAUUAAUUAAAAGAAGGCUCCUCCAGGAAACUCACAUAAGAGCUGAUCCCUUGGCGUUUUGACCCCUCUAGAUGGAGUUAAACCCCUGGAGAGAGAACCUGAGGCACAUGUGAGUGUUGGGAAAUGACUCAGUGCUGAAACCCUGUGCAUUCCUGCCCACAAUCAGCACACUAUGAUCCACUACACUGACCCCUAGACUACAGUUUGUUGUUCCUUAUUACGAAGAAUUGGAUGUUAAGCCUCUUAAUUUGAAGUAUUAUAUUCCUUAUUUAUUUAUUUUUCUUGUGUAGUUUGUUAUUGAGAAAUUUCUUAAGUUGUGGUAUCUCGACAGUGUUGGGAUUUAAGUGAACAAUUCUAUACCAAGACUAGCCAUAUACAGACACCAACUAAUAUGCUUGAAGCAUAUCAUCUGUAGGUGAAUGGAUCAUGGCUUCCACCCAUUCACUGGCUUUGCCAUCCUUUUGGACCAAGAGAUUUUGUAUGUGUGAAAAUUUUUAGAAAAAGACAUGUACUUUCAUGUCUCUGUGAUUGCCCCUAUGAAGUCUAUGAAGUACUGUUAACCACCCAUACCGCCAUCAAAAUAAAAGAAAAAUUUUCCCAGAUUCAUGUAAUCUAUACCAAACUGCACUGGGACAGCUGGAAGACCACCCCUACAGGUGACCUGAACGUAAGGAUUUCCAGGUCUAGUCCCCAGGGCCCUGAAGCAGACAUUUUCACAAAGUAGAGAGGUUUUUCCCAAUAUCUUAGAUAAGGAAACUACAUUUUUUAUCUAAAAUCCCCUUUUUUUCUGUUUUUUUGUUUCUCUUUUUAUCCCUUCCCCACAAAAAUAGUUCUUCAUGAACACUUUUUCUUUUAAGCUUCCUCGUUUGAGGAUUGCACAUGGGAAGCUGAGUGGAGAUGGCCUCAACCUAUCCCAAUUUCUCUUUUAAUUUUCCACUCUGACUUUUCUUUCAAACUAUGACUUGCUCUUACUAACUCUUACUGCUUUUCCAGCAGGUCAGACACAAGACCCAGCAUCCUUUUGCACCAGUCUUUCAAACCCUGGCCACACUAACUAAUCAAUCUAAUUGCCAGUUAUGCCAACAUAUAGAUCAUAGAGAGGAAUCCGAGCUCAUUUUUGUUUCUGACAAUGAGUGCCAGGUGGAACUGGUCUGGAAGAGGGAUGUAGGACAAGAAGUGGCAGCCACAACCAAAGAAAAUAUAUUAUGGUACUUCUCCUGUUGGUGAGUUAACUGAAAUGGAAAAAGUAUCUUUUGCUCAGACUCUGUAUCCUGGAGACCUACUGACACCAACCAGACCCGUGGAUAGACGUGGGAAUGGAUCCAACAGUCUCGAAAACUCCUACGCAGGAGACCUACCAACUGAGAAGAUAAUUUCUGCAUUCCAACCCUACGAGCUCAUCCCUCGCCAAUCAGCAGACCCCAUUCCCUAGCCCUUUGCUCACCAAACUACCUUUAAAAACCCUUUCUCCCAAAUUCUUGAGGAAGAUGGAUUUGUGAAAUUACUCCCCUCUCCCCUCAUGGUGCCUGUGAUAAUAAAACUUUUUCUCUGCUGUC